CCCAUCGACGAGACGGUUCGGCACCUCGAUGUCGGCUCACCGUAUCCUGGGGCUGAAGUCGGUCCCAAGGGUCGGGCUGUUCGCCCGUUAAAACGGUACGCGAGCUGGGUUCAGAACGUCGUGAGACAGUUCGGACUCUAUCCUGUGCAAGCGCUUGGAUUCCUGAGGGGGUACCUCGACAGUACGAGAGGACCUCGAGGUGGCAAUCCCUGGUGUACCGGUUGUUUAUCGCAGCGCCGGGUAGCUAUAUUGCCAUCCGAUAAGCACUGAAAGCAUCUCAAGUGCGAAGCGGACCCCAAGAUGAGGAAUCCAUAUUCAGCCUUCCGCAAGACUAGCGGAUUGAUAGGCGCUUAGGUGUAUGCC
rnacentral:rRNA from 1 species